UCCUCUCUACAAAAUGUUUUCCGUUGUGAUUACAAGUCCCUUUCAGGGGUGUGUCAGUAUUUUGACUCUGUCCCUGUCUGCAGGGGCCCCCAUAAUCACAGAAUUCUCGAAAUUAGAGAUGAAAAGGCCCUAUCAGGUCACCUUGCUGGGCCCCUUGUUCCUCCUUCCCCCCUCCCCCUUUAAAAAUCACCACUAAAAGACUGUGUUCCCUAUGGUGUAUCCUCCAGUGUCCUGGCCAGUCGGGUUUUUUAUUAACAACACAUGUCAUAAAAACAUCUCCCAGAUUCUGACAGCAGCAACAGCAGGAACAACAUCAAGCGGAUGGAUUCCAGCCUAGAAAUGCAGCAGCUACGAGCUUAACUCUGCAACCUCAGAGAGAACCUGGAACCACAAGUAUACAUUAUGGAAGAUGAAAGGAAGAAGAAUAAUCUCUCCUAUGCCAAGUUCUACUCAACUCACUGGUUUGAAAAGUCAAGUAAUCAUUUUCUCUACCAAUGAACAGAAUCCCAUGCAAAUGCCCAGGUUUGAAUCAUCAAGUAUAUAGGCUUGAUGGGUUCUUAGAUACAGCUGGAAUAUAUAUGAUGAGAAUCUGGGAAAAAAUGUGUUUUCAUGGAGCUUGGCAAAUCUGAUCAACAGAGCUUCAAAUAGAAAAUGGUGAUAGAAAGAGAAAAUUGCUCACAUAUAUCUACUUAGUUGAUACCACAGAGGGUGAAAAAUGAAAUACAGGAAAAAGACUCUUACUUACAGGAGACAAAAUGCAAGAAAAGACCAUGAACCCAUGAAGUCAGAUGUUUAAACUCAAAGGCACAAAAUACAAGAAAUAAAUAAUAUAAAUUGUCGAUCCUAUUGCAAAGAGACAAAUCAUACUAUGAAGAUUUUAGUAGAAUACAUUGGGAUCAAAUUAUGAUUAAACUGUGGCAAAUGUGUAUCCCAUAAAAAAAAAAAAAAAACCUUACAGAAUAAAGUGAAUGGG